rnacentral:lncRNA from 1 species
GUUUGGUAUCUCUUCUGCUGACACCGUUGCUCAUUCUUACAUGGAUGAUGUUAUUGCCCUCGUUCUUGGUAGCUUUAUUCUUGCUCUUGCCGUUGAGCACUACAACAUUCACAAAAGAUUGGCCUUAAAUGUAAGUUCCCGUAAUGCAUCAUCAUCAUCAUGUCAUUAAUUGUUACGAUUUCUUUUUCAGAAAAAUUAUCAGUGACAAAAGAUGAAUUAAUUAUGUAUGGACAAUCCUAUACCAUAUAAUAUAUAUUAAUAACUACAGAUAACUAUUCUAUUCUGUGGAGAGCCAAUGAAUCCGCCCUUGCUGCUUCUUGGGAUAUGUGGCACGACAGCAUUCGUGAGCAUGUGGAUGCAUAACGUGGCAGCAGCAGUGAUCAUGAUGCCAGUGGCCACUGGGAUCUUACAGAACUUGCCAGAGGUUCCUCUUCAAUCAACCCUUGUUAGGAAGUAUUGCAAAGCUGUGGUGCUCGGGGUCAUCUACUCUGCAGCCGUAGGAGGGAUGAGCACACUUACUGGAACAGGUGUUAAUCUAAUAUUGGUCGGGAUGUGGAAGACCUAUUUUCCAGAAGCAAACCCGAUCAGCUUCAGUACCUGGUUCUGUUUUGGGUUCCCUUUGGCUUUAGUGAUUUUCGUUGCUUUGUGGGCUAUUUUGUGCUUGUUCUAUUGUUCAAGGGGAUCUGGACCUGCUCUCUCCGAGUAUUUGGACAAAGCAAAUCUCAAGAGAGAGCUUGACAUGUUAGGUAAGACCCUGCUGUCUGUCCAAUUAAAUGACAGCUACAGCUAAUUAAUGUUCAGUGGCUUAAUUCCAUUGUUUGGUGUUUUUCUUGGCAGGUCCAAUGGCUUUUGCUGAAAAGAUGGUACUAGCUGUAUUUGGGGUGAGCUGAGCUGUAAUUUUUUUUUUUCUCCCCUUUUAAGUGAUGUGCAUAAUGUUAUUGGAAAUGUCUUCAAGUUAAUUUAAGAAAAAUGAUGCAGAUGCUAAUAGCAUUGUGGAUGACAAGAUCAAUAACAGAUGACAUUCCAGGUUGGGGAGCACUCUUCAAUGACCGUGCUGGUGAUGGAACUGCUAGUGUGAGUACUCUUUGGUCCUUUGUUUAUCAUUUGAGAACAUAAUUAAAUGAGGCAUGUUUAAUCAAGCUUUUGGAUGAUUUUUAACUGAAUUAUUAAUACAUAUGUAUACACACACACACACACACAAAUAUAGGUUGUGAUGGCAACAUUGUUGUUCAUAAUUCCGAGCAUGAAGCAAAAAGGAGAAAAAUUGAUGGAUUGGAACAAAUGCAAGAAGCUACCUUGGAACAUUAUAUUGCUUUUAGGGGCUGGCUUUGCUAUAGCCGAUGGAGUCAGGACUAGCGGUCUUGCUGAUGAUCUGUCAAAAGCAUUGGAUUUCCUGGAGGCGGCGCCAUAUUUAGCCAUUGCACCUAUCGUAUGUCUGAUUAGCGCGAUUAUUACUGAAUUCACAUCAAAUAAUGCCACAACAACUCUCGUUCUUCCACUUCUGAUCCAAAUAGCAAAAACUAUGCAUGUUCAUCCAUUGCUUCUUAUGGUUCCUGGAGCAAUUGGAGCACAAUUUUCUUUCUUGUUGCCGACUGGAACCCCUUCAAAUAUUGUUGGAUUCACAACCGGGCACAUCGAAAUUCAAGAUAUGAUCAAGACAGGGCUGCCCCUUAAGAUUGCUGGCAUUGCUGCUAUGGCCUGUCUAAUGCCUACACUUGGUAAAUAAUCUUACCGCGACAUUAAUUGUUUACUGUUUCUUGAUACAAGUGUAUUGACAAAUUUUGGAUAUUGCAGGUGCUUAUGUUUUUGGGACAGAUGGGGAUGUUCAGUAGCUGCAAACUCUUGUAAACUGUGGAGGUUUCUCUCAAUCAAGUCUCCGUAACAGGCAUUGGGGGACCCUGAAUAGGAAUUAU